AACGAAGCAAUUAGAAGGAAGUUUUCGGAUGGCAUUUUAAUUGACUGAGUGGCGGACGGGUGAGUAACGCGUGGGUAACCUGCCUCAUACAGGGGGAUAACAGUUAUAUAUGACUGCUAAUACCGCAUAAGCGCACAGGAUUGCAUGAUCCCGUGUGAAAAACUCCGGUGGUAUGAGAUGGACCCGCGUCUGAUUAGCUGGUUGGUGGGGUAACGGCCUACCAAGGCGACGAUCAGUAGCCGACCUGAGAGGGUGACCGGCCACAUUGGGACUGAGACACGGCCCAAACUCCUACGGGAGGCAGCAGUGGGGAAUAUUGCACAAUGGGGGAAACCCUGAUGCAGCAACGCCGCGUGAGUGAAGAAGUAUUUCGGUAUGUAAAGCUCUAUCUUCAUGGAAGAAAAUGACGGUACCUGAGUAAGAAGCCCCGGCUAACUACGUGCCAGCAGCCGCGGUAAUACGUAGGGGGCAAGCGUUAUCCGGAUUUACUGGGUGUAAAAGGGAGCGUAGACGGCGAUGCAAGUCUGAAGUGAAAGCCCGGGGCUCAACCCCGGGACUGCUUUGGAAACUGUAUGGCUGGAGUGCUGGAGAGGCACGCGGAAUUCCUAGUGUAGCGGU
rnacentral:rRNA from 1 species